UCACAGUCGUGAGACUGAGCUCUGCAUUGGAGCCACAAUCAGUGUGGAACCUGCUUAAGAUUCUCUCUCUCUCUCUCUCUCUCCCUCUCCCUCUCCCUCUCCCUCUCCCUCUGCCCCUUCCUCCCUACUCUCUCUGAAAAAAAAAUGACAAUGUUCAAUAAUCCCAUAAAAGAUGAUGGUGACUUUGAAGAGAGCGGUAGCCACGAAUAUGGUAAGAAACGAUCAAUUGCUGGAUAUAUUUUGAAGAAAAGGAAAACUGAAUUUGCUGAAGGAUCAAAAAUAGGAUUUAAGAGAGAGGAAUCAUGGAGGACUCUAAAGAACAGAGCUGCCAUUUGCUAAGAAGGGGAAAUUUGCCAGGAUACAAGUCUGAAGAAGCCAUGCUACAUUGAGAGACUGCAAAGUCACAGUCCUGCCAUUGAGAAGCUCAUUUAUCUGUCACUGAGGUGGACAGCCUGUGACCAGUGCUAUAAUACAGGUCUGUCCCUGUUUUGGUGGAAGUCUCCAGAAGAGUAAUACAAAUGAAGCCUUGAAGAAUGAGUAAAGACAAAAAUACAUCAGACUGGACACUCAGGAGUUGAAGAGCCAGAAGAUUCUGAAUAGGUGCUUUAUGAAAACGACUGCCUGAACAAUGUGCAUUUUGGAGCUACAAGCAGCCAUUGAGAUCUUGUAUUCAAUUUCACAGAGGAAUAAACUGAGACUA